rnacentral:rRNA from 1 species
UACGGGGGGAGCAAGCGUUGUUCGGAUUUACUGGGCGUAAAGGGCGCGUAGGCGGCGUGACAAGUCACUUGUGAAAUCUCCGGGCUUAACUCGGAGCGGUCAAGUGAUACUGUCGUGCUAGAGUGCGGAAGGGGCUACUGGGAAUUCUCGGUGUAGCGGUGAAAUGCGUAGAUAUCGAGAGGAACACCUGCGGCGAAGGCGGGUAGCUGGGCCGACACUGACGCUGAUGCGCGAAAGCCAGGGGAGCAAACGGG